rnacentral:tRNA from 1 species
GAGGUGGUGCCGGUGGUGGAGCGGCUCAGCCGAACUCCGGGCUGACCCGGAGCCAAGUAGUACAGCAGAAGGACGCCGGUUCGAAUCCGGUCGGCUUCG